GCUGCGGCGAGCCUACGGCAAACGAAAUCGCUGCGGGCGCAGCGAAGGCGCGUGCGCUGCCGUGGCGAUCCUGCGCUCGCCAUCUCCGUUCUUCGGCGGUGGCGUAGAGUUGGUCACGCGGCAGCGCCGAUGCGAGGCGAUGGCGGCGGCGCGCGCUCCUCUCAAAGGGGGCGCGCGUUCUCGACCGCUCGCAGCCUCGAGAUGGUCUUGUAUCGCAUUCAAGUCAUACUCGUAGCCGCCGUGUCGGGACCCGAAAGGCGGUGAACUAUACCCGGCCAGGGUGAAGUUAGGGGAAACCCUGAUGCAGGCCCGUCGCGUUUCUAACGUGCAAAUUGAUCGUCUGAGCCGGGCAUAGGGGCGAAAGACCAAUCGAACCGUCUAGUAGCUGGUUCCUUUCGAAGUUUCCCUCAGGAUAGCUGAAACGAAAUCGAAUUAGUCGCGUGAGGUAAAGCGAAUGAUUAGAGGCAUUGGGGCUGAAACGGUCUUAACCUAUUCUCAAACUUUCAAUAUGCGCUGGCCGGCGACUUGCAAUCACUCGCGCGCGCCCGCGCGCGCGGGUCGAAGUCGCCAGUCGAUAGAGCGUUUCUAGUGGGCCAGUCCUGGUAAGCAGGACCGGCGAUGUGGGAUGAACCAAAUGCACAAGUUAGAGUGCCAAAAAGUAUGUUAAUCAGAAACCACAAAAGGCGUUAGUAACUAAAGACAGCAGGACGGUGGACAUGGAAGUAGUAA
rnacentral:rRNA from 1 species